AGAGUUUGAUCCUGGCUCAGGAUGAACGCUAGCUACAGGCUUAACACAUGCAAGUCGAGGGGCAUCAGGCCGCAGCAAUGCGGUGCUGGCGACCGGCGCACGGGUGAGUAACGCGUAUCCGACCUGGCCUUCACUCCGGGACAGCCCUCCGAAAGGGGGAUUAAUCCGGGAUGUGUGGAGAAGUCGCAUGAGUUUUCCAUGAAAGAUUCAUCGGUGAAGGAUGGGGAUGCGUCCCAUUAGGUAGUCGGCGGGGUAACGGCCCACCGAGCCCGCGAUGCGUAGGGGUUCUGAGAGGAAGGUCCCCCCACACUGGUACUGAGACACGGACCAGACUCCUACGGGAGGCAGCAGUGAGGAAUAUUGGUCAAUGGGCGAUGGCCUGAACCAGCCAAGUCGCGUGCGGGACGAAGGCCCUCCGGGUCGUAAACCGCUUUAGCCGGGGAGUAACGUGGGGCACGUGUGCCCCAGUGAGAGUACCCGGAGAAUAAGCAUCGGCUAACUCCGUGCC
rnacentral:rRNA from 1 species